rnacentral:rRNA from 1 species
ACUACCUGCCUCGAAGNAUUGAUAAGUUUGAUCAUGGCUCAGACUGANGCGCUAGCGGCAUGCCUUACACAUGCAAGUCGAACGGUAACAGGUCUUCGGACGCUGACGAGUGGCGAACGGGUGAGUAAUACAUCGGAACGUGCCCAGUCGUGGGGGAUAACUACUCGAAAGAGUAGCUAAUACCGCAUACGAUCUGAGGAUGAAAGCGGGGGACCUUCGGGCCUCGCGCGAUUGGAGCGGCCGAUGGCAGAUUAGGUAGUUGGUGGGAUAAAAGCUUACCAAGCCGACGAUCUGUAGCUGGUCUGAGAGGACGACCAGCCACACUGGGACUGAGACACGGCCCAGACUCCUACGGGAGGCAGCAGUGGGGAAUUUUG